rnacentral:rRNA from 1 species
GACGAACGCUGGCGGCGUGCUUAACACAUGCAAGUCGAACGGAAAGGCCCUGCUUUUGUGGGGUGCUCGAGUGGCGAACGGGUGAGUAACACGUGAGUAACCUGCCCUUGACUUUGGGAUAACUUCAGGAAACUGGGGCUAAUACCGGAUAGGAGCUCCUGCUGCAUGGUGGGGGUUGGAAAGUUUCGGCGGUUGGGGAUGGACUCGCGGCUUAUCAGCUUGUUGGUGGGGUAGUGGCUUACCAAGGCUUUGACGGGUAGCCGGCCUGAGAGGGUGACCGGCCACAUUGGGACUGAGAUAGGGCCCAGACUCCUACGGGAGGAAGCAGUGGGGAAUAUGGAACAAGGGGCGGAAGCCGGAUGCAGCAACGCCGGGUGCGGGAUGACGGCCUUCGGGUUGUAAACGGCUUUCGCCUGUGACGAAGCGUGAGUGACGGUAAUGGGUAAAGAAGCACCGGCGAACUACGU